GAUCCAAUUAGCUUGAGGAAAACGUUCACUCUUGCUUAUGUGAAGCUUGAGUAAGGUUGUGAAUAAAUAAUUGGAGCUUGGAAUUGUGAAUAUUGAAACUUGGAGAAAGCUGAUUAGUUGAAUUUUGAAGGGGCUGCCUUGGUUUUAAAUAAUUUUCUUUGGUCGUUACGUGAAAAUCGGCCAAGAUGCAGGUCGAGAGGCAUCUCGUUAGGCGUCUGGACUCUUGAAGCGGAGUGGUUACUGGGUUAUUUUGUUAUGCUAUGAUGUAUAUAUAUGUACUUAACUUUCUCUCCACAUAACUUAUUCUUUUUGAUCCUCCUAGAGGUGUAUGGAGAGGCAGAAUUUUGUUUAUGUACAUUUGGAUUUUGGAUAUGUAUAUAUAUGUAUAUAUAUGUGUGUAUAUUCUCUGGCCAGUCUUGACUUCGCAGGCUGAGUCAGGAGCUCGUUAUUUUGUAUCUUUGACUCUCUGUUUCUGUUUUGGGUUACUUUACACUUGACAGCUGUAGCUUUCUUAGCAUGCAAGUUAACUCGUUUC